rnacentral:lncRNA from 1 species
UUUCUUAAUUGAUACGAAUAGUUGAAGUGGAUUUUUCGAAGAGAGGAUGGAUUAUGGGAGUGUGUGAUUUGAACUAUUAAUUGGGCCAUGCAGAUAUAUGAUUUUAUCAAAAGAUUUGACUCACUGUAGACAUUAAGAAGAGGAGACAACCAGCUCUUGGACUAUAAAAAUGUGCGUGCUCGAUCUAGUAAUCUUGGGCAAUUUUUGACUCAUCUUUCUUUGGCUAUACUUGUAGCCAGCCAUGUUAGCUCC